CCUUCCUCAGGUCACCCAGAUUCCAGGACAUCCCCAAGGUUUGAUGAAAGUGUAGGGAUCAGCCUAGCAAUCCCCCCCCCCCCCCCCCCCGCAGUUUUCCCUCUACGGUGGAGACUCUCCAACCUGGAAGCUUAGAGACGGGGACAGAGGCAAAGAGCUGAGAUUGCUUCUUUUCAUCAGUGAAAGAACUAACUGCUUCCACUUUUUGUGAAUUGGACCCGAAUCACCCAGCUACAGACACCAGUAGAGGAUUCUGCAGAAAUUAGCCUUCAAAGUCAUUAAAAGUUUUUGAGAUGAGUGCUCUCAUUGAGUCUGAAGCUGCUGAUUGGCUAGACUGACAGUCCAUCAAGCCCCAAGGCUCUUCCUGUCUCAGCUUUUCCAGCACUGGGGUUAAAGAUCCCUGUCAC